UAUUACUAUUUCUGCCAGUUUCCAGUUGUUCGCCUGUGUCGUUCAUUUAUUUAGUAGUUCUCUCUUUUAAAAAAAAUACUUGCUGUUUUCUUGACGCCACUAUUUCUUUUGUUCUGUGCCAGCUCUAUGAAUUGAUGUAGAAAGGUGACUUUCCAUCUUUGACGUGAACGCAAGGAUAUCCAAGAUGGCCGCCACCCCACAGCAACGCAGCUGGUUUGUUCUGGAAUUUGAAAGUACAGAGUGUUGUGACCGUGCAACGUGCUUUCAAACUCAAAUACCAUGUGAAUCCACCUACACCCAAGUCCAUUCGGAAAUGCCACGACGACUUUAUUGAGAAUGGAUGCAUCUGUGAUCGGAGAAAGGGACAUUCAGGCUGACCACUGGUCUCAGAGGAAGUUAUCGAUCAAGUUAGAGGAGUAUUUUUGCACAGGCCCAAGACGUCAGUACACAGAGCUAACUAAAAGUUACAGGUCCCCAUAAGCACAGAUCUUACACGCCUACGGUUUCACCCUUAGAAACUGCACUUAGUCCAAAACCUACACUUGGAAGACAAUGUGAAUUGAAUUUUGUACGAAUUUCCAGGCAUUAAUGGAAAAUGACGACAACCUGCUGUUGAAGAUCAUUUUCGGUGAUGAGGCGACAUUCCACUUAAGGUCAAUAGGCAUAAUGUGAGGAUACAGGGGAGUGAAAAUUCAUAUGUGACCCUGGAAAGUGAUUAAGACUCUCCCAAACUUAAUGUGUUUUGUGCUGUCAAAGCAGACUGUGUAUGGACCUUUCUUCAUUCAUGAACGAACUGUUACUGGUUAAAGUUACCUGGAGAUGCUAAGCAAUUGGAUGUUUCCAUGCUGAGGGUGGUGACCACUUUUUUCAGCAAGAUGGUGCACUGCCAUCUCCCUGUCAGGAGAUUUCUCAAUGAGCACAUGCCAAACAGAUGGAUUGGCCAUGCUGGAAGUGAUGACAAGAUGUUCUGCAAGUGGCCCGUGAGGUCACCAGACCUAACUGUUUGUGACUUCUUUCUUUGAGGAUACAUAAAGACCAAAGUUUACAUACCCACACUUCCUGCAACCUUGGAUGAGCUAAUAAAUUGUAUCACUGAAGCACUUUGCAUGAUCACUCUGGGUAUGCUGCAGAGAGUCUUGACUGAGCUAGAUUAUCGCAUCAAGUAACCAGAGAGGUGCAACUGUAGCUACUAGUUGUGAAAGAAUAUUACAAUAAAGUUACAUAUUA
rnacentral:lncRNA from 1 species